rnacentral:rRNA from 1 species
AGCAGCCGCGGUAAUUCCAGCUCCAAUAGCGUAUAUUAAAGUUGUUGCAGUUAAAAAGCUCGUAGUUGAAUUUCGGGGUCAGUAGGUUGGUCAUGCCUUCGGUAUGUACUGGUCUCACUGAUUCCUCCUUCUUGAAGAUCCGUAAUGUCAUUAAUUUGGUGUUGCGGGGAAUCAGGACUGUUACUUUGAAAAAUUAGAGUGUUUAAAGCAGGCUAACGCUUGAAUACAUUAGCAUGGAAUAAUGAAAUAGGACGUUUGAUCCUAUUUUGUUGGUUUCUAGGAUUGACGUAAUGAUUAAUAGGGAUAGUUGGGGGCAUUAGUAUUCAAUUGUCAGAGGUGAAAUUCUUGGAUUUAUUGAAGACUAACUACUGCGAAAGCAUUUGCCAAGGAUGUUUUCAUUAAUCAAGAACGAAAGUUAGGGGAUCGAAGACGAUCAGAUACCGUCGUAGUCUUAACCAUAAACUAUGCCGACUAGGGAUCGGAUGAUGUUAAUUUUAAUGACUCAUUCGGCGCCUUACGG